CCCUUAGAUGUUCUGGGCCGCACGCGUGCUACACUGAGUGGAUCAGCGGGUCAGGUUGCGCGAAAGUGUUUCCUAAUCUUGAAAUCCGCUCGUGAUGGGGAUUGACGGUUGCAAUUUUCCGUCAUGAACGAGGAAUACCUUGUAAGCGCGGGUCAUCAUCCCGCGCUGAAUACGUCCCUGCCCUUUGUACACACCUCCCGUCGCUCCUACCGAUUGAGUGGUCCGGUGAGGCUUUGGGAUCUGAGCGGAAAGAGCGUUUCGCUGUUUCUGCUCGGAAAACUCAGUCGAACCUUAUCAUUUAGAGGAAGGAGAAGUCGUAACA
rnacentral:rRNA from 1 species